AUGUGUGAAAAAAAACUGCGCUCAUGGGCCGGCCUAUUAUUGCGAGGCUGUGAGAGAGCAAUGCGCUGCGGGCGACGCGAUCACAGGCCAGGCCUAGCCCGCAGAUGUGAAUCGCAGGCAAGCUCCAGGGUCCACGCGAGGCGCUACCGAGGGAGGAAACAGGGAAGCGAAGGCGGCGGCGCGGGCGACGAGCGGAGACGACGACUGCCGGCUGCCGCCUUCUCUCCGGCCGAAGUAACCAUAGGUGGCGGGAGGAUGGAGGUGAAGCUCAAGGACCUCGUCCCGGCAGCGACCAACACAGUGAACACGACGUUCAUCGUGGUCGACAAGGUGCCCCGCCCGGCCCACGCAAACGCACACGGCAGGGAGGAGACAUGCCCGUCACUAGUGGCUGACGAGACGGCGGCGGUGCAUUUCCUUCUGUGGGGCACCGAGUGCGAUGCCUUCGAGCCUGGGGACAUCGUGCGGCUCACGAGUGGCAUCUUCUCGUACCAUAGGGGCAACAACCUGUUCUUGCGCGCCGGCAAGCGAGGACGAGUGGAGAAGGUGGGCGAGUUCACCAUGAUGUUCGUCGAGACGCCCAACAUGAGCGAGGUGAGGUGGGGGCCCGAUCCAGGCGACCCAAGGAAGAUGGUGCAGGAGGCUGUCGUGUCGCCCUACUCCCAAGUCUUCAAUCCGCUGCACUGA
rnacentral:rRNA from 1 species